UGGGAUAACUUCGGGAAACCGGAGCUAAUACCGGAUAACAUUUAGAACCGCAUGGUUCUAAAGUGAAAGAUGGUUUUGCUAUCACUUAUAGAUGGACCCGCGCCGUAUUAGCUAGUUGGUAAGGUAACGGCUUACCAAGGCGACGAUACGUAGCCGACCUGAGAGGGUGAUCGGCCACACUGGAACUGAGACACGGUCCAGACUCCUACGGGAGGCAGCAGUAGGGAAUCUUCCGCAAUGGGCGAAAGCCUGACGGAGCAACGCCGCGUGAGUGAUGAAGGGUUUCGGCUCGUAAAACUCUGUUAUUAGGGAAGAACAAAUGUGUAAGUAACUGUGCACAUCUUGACGGUACCUAAUCAGAAAGCCACGGCUAACUACGUGCCAGCAGCCGCGGUAAUACGUAGGUGGCAAGCGUUAUCCGGAAUUAUUGGGCGUAAAGCGCGCGUAGGCGGUUUCUUAAGUCUGAUGUGAAAGCCCACGGCUCAACCGUGGAGGGUCAUUGGAAACUGGGAAACUUGAGUGCAGAAGAGGAAAGUGGAAUUCCAUGUGUAGCGGUGAAAUGCGCAGAGAUAUGGAGGAACACCAGUGGCGAAGGCGACUUUCUGGUCUGUAACUGACGCUGAUGUGCGAAAGCGUGGGGAUCAAACAGGAUUAGAUACCCUGGUAGUCCACGCCGUAAACGAUGAGUGCUAAGUGUUAGGGGGUUUCCGCCCCUUAGUGCUGCAGCUAACGCAUUAAGCACUCCGCCUGGGGAGUACGACCGCAAGGUUGAAACUCAAA
rnacentral:rRNA from 1 species